rnacentral:rRNA from 1 species
UGCCGAUAGAGGAGCUCGCGUCUGAUUAGCUAGUUGGUGGGGUAAGAGCUUACCAAGGCAACGAUCAGUAGCUGGUCUGAGAGGAUGAGCAGCCACACUGGGACUGAGACACGGCCCAGACUCCUACGGGAGGCAGCAGUGGGGAAUUUUCCGCAAUGGGCGAAAGCCUGACGGAGCAAGACCGCGUGAGGGAGGAAGGCCCUUGGGUUGUAAACCUCUUUUCUCAGGGAAGAAGAAAGUGACGGUACCUGAGGAAUCAGCCUCGGCUAACUCCGUGCCAGCAGCCGCGGUAAUACGGAGGAGGCAAGCGUUAUCCGGAAUUAUUGGGCGUAAAGCGUCCGCAGGUGGUUUUUCAAGUCCGCUGUCAAAGACAGUAGCUCAACUACUGAAAGGCAGUAGAAACUGAGGAACUAGAGACCGGUAGGGGUAGAGGGAAUUCCCAGUGUAGCGGUGAAAUGCGUAGAGAUUGGGAAGAACACCAGUGGCGAAAGCGCUCUACUGGGCCGGUACUGACACUCACAGAUCGAAAGCUAGGGGAGCGAAAGGGAUUAGAUACCCCUGUAGUCCUAGCCGUAAACGAUGA